UCAUCUAUCUAUCCAUUUAUCUAUCUAGGAGGUGAAGUGAAUCGUCAAUCCAGUGCUGGAACUCUACCCCGCUACACCGCCGACACUAACCGCUAUUCCGCUAGUUCCCCGCGAUACGCCGAAUCUUCAAGAUUCGGCGGGUCAUCGUCAGGAUCCAGGGACGGGUUGGAAGGCGGAGCAAGGUUUAGAGAGGGUCUGUCAGGAGCUAGAUAUGUGGAGGGUGGGACUGCUCAAUGCUACGGUGAGGGUGGGAUGGCGGCCCAGGGAGCCACAGGAAGAUACAGCGAGGGAACCAAAUACUCUCCAAGGGGCUCGACUGUACCCCACAGUUACCGGCACGGGCCUAAUCACAUGUUCUUAUAAAUAUUUCGACCAAAAAUCUCUUUGUUUUCAUUAUACACAAUGUGCUAUAAUAUCGUUGUACGGUUGGAUAUAUAUUUUAGUUUUAAAUCUAGCAAAAUACCUUCAAGAGAUAGAAAAUGUCUUAAAAGUCUAAUGCUGCAUCUGGUUAAAUUUACAGUACAUAAAGCGGCAGUUUUGCGUGGUUAGAACUCGAAGUAGCUUAACUGAUCUAUUCAUUAAUUUCCAUCCAAGGUUGCAUAAUGCAUAAUAGGGAAAGUUUGUACAUGUUGUACAUUUUAACCACCUGAUCAUGCAGAAGGAAAUUAUCAAUUAUAUUCUUAUAAGAAAAAUAUUAUUUCAUCAGAUGAUUUUUGGACCAAUACAAUAUAAGAGUUUUCUAGAAUUUUCAA
rnacentral:lncRNA from 1 species